rnacentral:rRNA from 1 species
UACGUAGGGCGCAAGCGUUAUCCGGAAUUAUUGGGCGUAAAGAGCUCGUAGGCGGUUUGUCGCGUCUGCCGUGAAAGUCCGGGGCUCAACUCCGGAUCUGCGGUGGGUACGGGCAGACUAGAGUGAUGUAGGGGAGACUGGAAUUCCUGGUGUAGCGGUGAAAUGCGCAGAUAUCAGGAGGAACCCCCGGGGCGAAGGCGGCGUCCUGGCUCUGGUCUGACGUUCAGACACGACAGCAUGGGGAGCGAACGGG